rnacentral:lncRNA from 1 species
CCGAUCGAUCCUUGGCUCAACCUGAAGGGCAAAUCAAAGAUGUCUUCAUUCAUGUGAAUAGAUUCAUUUUUUCUAAAAGACGUUGUAUGAGGCUUUGGGUUUGAAGUUUCACUUAUUAAAACAUAUCAUCCACGGUUAGAUAGUCAAUCUGAGAGCGUGAUCUAGAUUCUCGAGGAUAUACUUCAGAGUUGUGCUAUUGAUUUUAGGAAUGACAUUUACCAUUGGCUGAGUUCACGUACAAUAACA